GAUGGACGCUGGCGGCGUGCCUAAUACAUGCAAGUCGAGCGAACAGACGAGGAGCUUGCUCCUCUGACGUUAGCGGCGGACGGGUGAGUAACACGUGGAUAACCUACCUAUAAGACUGGGAUAACUUCGGGAAACCGGAGCUAAUACCGGAUAAUAUAUUGAACCGCAUGGUUCAAUAGUGAAAGACGGUUUUGCUGUCACUUAUAGAUGGAUCCGCGCCGCAUUAGCUAGUUGGUAAGGUAACGGCUUACCAAGGCAACGAUGCGUAGCCGACCUGAGAGGGUGAUCGGCCACACUGGAACUGAGACACGGUCCAGACUCCUACGGGAGGCAGAAGUAGGGAAUCUUCCGCAAUGGGCGAAAGCCUGACGGAGCAACGCAGCGUGAGUGAUGAAGGUCUUCGGAUCGUAAAACUCUGUUAUUAGGGAAGAACAAAUGUGUAAGUAACGAUGCACGUCUUGACGGUACCGAAUCAGAAAGCCACGGCUAACUACGU
rnacentral:rRNA from 1 species